CUCUGUGUGGGGAAGCUGAGAGCCAGAGCCACGCUCAGAGUGUUAAGACACUGAUACGUAAAUUUCAACAACACCCAGAACCAGAACCCAGCUGUGUGUCCUUUAAGAGCGACAGGUCAAAUAAUCGUUAUAUUGACUUCAGAUCUUCUGGACCUGCGUCCUCAGAGAGAGUGGACCAGCAGAACUCAGAGGUUCCCAGAGGUCCGUCUGCCCGGCAGCAUCAAAUCCACCUGGACUCCAUAUUUAUGCUGCUGGAGGACAACAUUGUCACUUUUGUGAAGAAGGAGC